rnacentral:rRNA from 1 species
GACGAACGCUGGCGGCGCGCUUAACACAUGCAAGUCGAACGGUGAACCGGGCUUCGGCCCGGGGAUCAGUGGCGAACGGGUGCGUAGCACGUGGGCAACCUGCCCCAGCCUCUGGGAUAACUCCGGGAAACCGGGGCUAAUACCGGAUACUCUGCCUGGACCUCAUGGUCCGGUCGGCAAAGCUCCGGCGGUCUGGGAUGGGCCCGCGGCCUAUCAGCUUGUUGGUGAGGUAACGGCUCACCAAGGCGACGACGGGUAGCUGGUCUGAGAGGACGGCCAGCCACACUGGGACUGAGAUACGGCCCAGACUCCUACGGGAGGCAGCAGUGGGGAAUCUUGCGCAAUGGGCGAAAGCCUGACGCAGCGACGCCGCGUGGGGGACGAAGGCCUUCGGGUUGUAAACCCCUUUCGGCAGGGACGAAGCGAUCGUGACGGUACCUGCAGAAGAAGCUCCGGCUAACUACGUGCCAGCCGCCGCCGUAA